UGGGGAAUUUUGGACAAUGGGCGCAAGCCUGAUCCAGCCAUGCCGCGUGCGGGAAGAAGGCCUUCGGGUUGUAAACCGCUUUUGCCAGGGAAGAAAUCUUCUGAGUUAAUACCUCGGGAGGAUGACGGUACCUGAAGAAUAAGCACCGGCUAACUACGUGCCAGCAGCCGCGGUAAUACGUAGGGUGCAAGCGUUAAUCGGAAUUACUGGGCGUAAAGCGUGCGCAGGCGGUUUUGUAAGACAGAGGUGAAAUCCCCGGGCUCAACCUGGGAACUGCCUUUGUGACUGCAAGGCUUGAGUGCGGCAGAGGGGGAUGGAAUUCCGCGUGUAGCAGUGAAAUGCGUAGAUAUGCGGAGGAACACCGAUGGCGAAGGCAAUCCCCUGGGCCUGCACUGACGCUCAUGCACGAAAGCGUGGGGAGCAAACAGGAUUAGAUACCCUGGUAGUCCACGCCCUAAACGAUGUCAACUGGUUGUUGGGAAGGUUCCUUCUCAGUAACGUAGCUAACGCGUGAAGUUGACCGCCUGGGGAGUACGGCCGCAAGGUUGAAACUCAAAUGAAUUGACGGGGUCAUAGGCUGUUUCCU
rnacentral:rRNA from 1 species